GUCUGGGAUACCACUUGGAAACAGGUGCUAAUACCGGAUAACAACAAUAGCUGCAUGGCUAUUGCUUAAAAGGCGGCGAAAGCUGUCGCUAAAGGAUGGACCCGCGGUGCAUUAGCUAGUUGGUAAGGUAAUGGCUUACCAAGGCGACGAUGCAUAGCCGAGUUGAGAGACUGAUCGGCCACAUUGGGACUGAGACACGGCCCAAACUCCUACGGGAGGCAGCAGUAGGGAAUCUUCCACAAUGGGCGAAAGCCUGAUGGAGCAACGCCGCGUGAGUGAAGAAGGUUUUCGGAUCGUAAAGCUCUGUUGUUGGUGAAGAAGGAUAGAGGUAGUAACUGGCCCCUAUUUGACGGUAAUCAACCAGAAAGUCACGGCUAACUACGUGCCAGCAGCCGCGGUAAUACGUAGGUGGCAAGCGUUGUCCGGAUUUAUUGGGCGUAAAGCGAGCGCAGGCGGAAAGAUAAGUCUGAUGUGAAAGCCCCCGGCUUAACCGAGGAAUUGCAUCGGAAACUGUGUUUCUUGAGUGCAGAAGAGGAGAGUGGAACUCCAUGUGUAGCGGUGGAAUGCGUAGAUAUAUGGAAGAACACCAGUGGCGAAGGCGGCUCUCUGGUCUGUAACUGACGCUGAGGCUCGAAAGCAUGGGUAGCGAACAGGAUUAGAUACCCUGGUAGUCCAUGCCGUAAACGAUGAGUACUGAGUGUUGGGAGGUUUCCGCCUCUCAGUGCUGCAG
rnacentral:rRNA from 1 species